GGUGUUCUGUGAUUAAGUUUCUGUGGUUCCAUAAGUGCUCACGGUUUUAUAAAGACGAACUCAAAGGCAUCUCAGCCCCAGAGAGGUCACUCGGUCUGUCAGAAUGCCGUAGCCUCAAUGUAGCAGACAUUUCCUGUAAGUGUUGUUUAGCCAAAUGACCAUGUAAGAUAUUGGGUUGUUUACAGUACCAGCCUAACCACGUGACAUUAAACAAUGAAGAACCAAAAGAGAACAUCUGUGGAGAGGAUAGGCAGAGGCAGUGGGACAAUGUUAUCAGAUGCACCUCACAGGGUGCAGUUUUUAUUCCUCUCUCUCUGCUCCGUAAGAUAGUUCUGAAAACACAGGAACAAUCCUUAGAACUCCUUUUAGCACAACAGAUGAAUAAGAAAACAAGUUUCAGUAUUAGCUCUAGGGAGAUUAUCCCUUUUCCAGAGUAAAGUCUUAUUUUAGCUUUACCUCUCUGGCUGUGAUUAGGCUAAAAUAUCUGAGACUUCAUUCUAAAGAGAAAAAAAUGUUUCUGCGGAAGCUAAUGCCAAUCAACCAAACCAAAAAUUCUGCUAUUGAAUUUUGCCAUUUGUAGCUAGGUCUCACCAUUCCUGCAAAGCAGCCUUUUGCCAUCCCUUGAAGUCUUUCAAAUAUCCAAACACAAUAAGUUUCACAUGCAUCCACUGUUUACUAGUCUAACGUAAUCUCUAAUUAGUCAGUUCUGCUAUAUUGGUAAUUCAGUGCCCCGUGUGAUUCCUGUUCAUGUCGGUAGGAAUUCUUUAAUGAUGGCACUGCUCACUGCUAGGUCAUGUCAGUUUUGUUUUUCUCUUUAGUUAUUAGGGAAAAAAGAUAAAUACUUUUCUACACUCAGUUGCUAAAAUCUCCCUUUAGCUCUUUUAGGACAUUUUGGUUUUAGAUUCUGGAUUUCUUGUGUUUCAUUCCUACAGAGCAAAGAAGCCUCUCCACUUAUAAGGCAACAACUAUCGAAAACAAACAAACAAGCAUUUGGGCCAACCUUCUCCCAUCUAAGUACUUACGUUUUGUAAGUUCUGCGAUGGGGAAAUGCAUCAGUGUCACCUGGGAACUCCUGCUCAGCCCAUGCUGCUUUUCAGUUAUGACCUGUCAGCAAAUUCAAGCAGGGUUUGUACAGAGGGAUGUGGGAAAGCUCACUAGACUUUUCAGCAGUAAGUAGCAGCUCUCAGGUGCAGAUCUUAGAAAUGGUAAUUUCCUGACUAAAGGAGCUCAUGCUUGCAUGACAAGGACAAAACAACUGACUUGAGCAGCAAGACAUUGCUCUAAUAAAUGAAACACCUUUGCAAAGCAAGUUCUAUUCAUGAAAUAAUUUAUGGGAAAAAAUGCAAACUGACAGUGCAGUGUUUUUAGCUUGCAAUAACUUCAGUGCAAGUGGGGUACUGUCACUGAUGAUCAAAAAGUGUGGGUAUUAGAGGCUCUUUUUCAAAACUGCAGUAAAAGCAAUGAACUGCAAAGCUAAAUUAUGAGUUCAUAAAUUGUUGUUUAGAGCUUAAUUAGGCGUGUAUAAGACUGUGAACAUGAGGUAGAUGGAAAGAGAAUCUACCUGUCAGUCUAUGAAACAGUCCUCAGGAGCUGACAAGGUUACCUAUUUUACUGCCCUAUUUUUAAAAAGUCAUAUUAAAUGCUUAUGGAUAAAUGUAUCAUUGAUAAAUCAUUUAGUUUCCUGUUAAAUUGCAACAGCACCAUGGAAAUAACUGCUUUUAAUAAGAUUCUAAGGUUCCUGGGCUGUCUCCUAGUUGAAAGGGGAAACCUAACUUUUCCUGAUAUCUGAUGUUACAGGUUCUCAAACUGAUCCUUACUACACAGAGAGUUCAGUUCCCAGGAUCCCUCCCACUUGCCCUAGAACUACUGUGACACAGUGGAGAAAUACUGACUCUGAGAUCCUGCAGUUCAUAAUGCUACAGGGGACUCCUGAAGCUGAAUGGAGCACUGUUCCUGCCGUGCUCCAGUUGGGUGAAUGCUAUGAAUCGUAUGAUGGAUGGUUCUGGGGGUGCACUGCUGCUUUAAACAGGAAGCUCCUCUAGGAUCAUCCCAGCUCACAAAUGAGGCCACUUCCUUAACAAUACAAUAACAGGAAUUUGAUCAGAAACUUCAAAAUUUGAUUCUAGAAGGUUGCUUUCAUUCUUGCAUUAUCUCCAGUUACUAGUUAUACAAGUUGUGCUUGUUUAAAAAAACAGGCUUUUCACACAGACAAAUCUCGCUCUUUUAUGAUUGUUAAAAUAUCAUCCUAUUUUUGUCUUUUUUUUUUUUUUUUUUUUGCCUAGACCAGAUUUACAUUGCCAAUAUCACAUAUGAUUCUGUAGGAAAUACUUCUAAGAGCUUUUCUUAUCCCUAUGCGAUACACCAGGAGAACAGGAGUUUUAGACACACGCUGUUCAGAUGCAUGUGGCUCCAGAGGUCAUAACACCCAUAUGCAUGCUGUGCUGCUUGGAACUCGAGGCUCUGCUAUCCCAGGAGGAGCGCUGGAUGUUUCCUCCAGGAUUCAGUAAAACAGCCAAACCCUUUUGGGAAAGGGUAGUUUGCUUUCUUUAUUAGCCCAAAGCUAGACACUGUUUAAAUCCUCCAAAAAUCUGCACUUUGCUAAUCUAGCUCAAUGCUGCAUAGAAAAAAAGGAAAAAGGGGGAAAAAAAAAACAUGGAUUUUCUUUAUGCCUGCAAGGCAUGCAUUCUUAUUGGGGAACAAUGCACAGACACCGUACAAAGACACUAUGGUGCUAAGCAGGAGAUAAAGCAGAAAGAGAGGAUGCAGUAUGGAUAUGGAGGAGCUAAUACACAGCUACCUGGUGGGUUUUCAGAGAAGGAUAGCUAUCAUUGCCUACAUUGUUCAUUUUUUCUCUGCAGAGAGAACAAUACCAAUGAAAUUGCCUCAAAACUCCAAUGUCUCAGUCAGGAAAUGGCAGAGACUGGCUAUCCCAGCUUGGUGUCUGGUGCUAGUUAUACCUGAUAGAUACACAUCAUCUUACAAGGAACGCA